AUCCAACUGACGAGUCCCGAACAGGAGGAAACGCGCAUUUUGAAU
rnacentral:hammerhead_ribozyme from 1 species